GAAGGCGUCGGGCUUGCGGCGCUGCCCCGGCGGUGUCCCUGCACAGCCCCCCCCGUUCGCUCCUCGCCGCCUUCCUCGCGCCGCGAAGCCAGUGCCGGCCAGGUGGCAAGGCCGACUGCAAGGACAGGCAGGCGGUCUCUGCAGCUACGGCCCAUGGGCUUCUCAAGAGGGCCUUAGAAAAAAGUGUUCAUGUUGUUCAGGAAAAAUACGGCAAUAGAUUUAACAUAUAGUUGAGCGUGCUGCUCCGAGGCAGCUGUUUCUAUGAAAAAAACCCUGCCGCCUCCUUCUUGUUUGACCCGUGUCCAAAUGGCAGUUUAAAGAGAUCAUUUGCGUGGCGCUGUGCUACUGACACAGUCUUUGACCUUUGACGCAAUUUGGCAAAUCAGAUGACUCUAAUUACAAAAGCCUUUGAAACACACCUUCCCAUUGACCUCCUGCUGUCCGCUAGAGACAAGGCUACUUGAAAACAGAAACCUGAAAAGCAGGAGCCGACGUAGUUUCCAUAGGAGCCUGAAGAGCUCACUGUCAAGUUUAUCCCAGAUAUUUGUGAGUAGGGGACAGCUAAGCAGUCCUAGUGCCCACAGCACAAUGUGCCUUGACUGCAAAAUCCAUCGGCUUCUGGCCAGAAAAGCACCAAGAAAACCCCUCAGAACUCUCACUGGACGGGUCUACUUGUAGGAGAAGGGGUUAGGUUGUUCCCUGGUUCCUGUUUGUCCUCAGUGAGACAAAGGAAAAACAAUGCUCCGUGGAAACCAGCUCCCCUGGCAUGAGGUUUGCUAGCAGAUCAGAAGAGACCAGAAAACAUCCCAUGGGUGUGGUGAAGGGAAGUAGCCAUCCUCUUAACACUGACCUUCAAAUAAUUGGCAACAGCUAUCAUUUUUCAUGGCACGUUUCAAAGGCAGCCCUUCAAAAUCAGGUGAGCUAAUGUGGGAAAGGCAUGCAUGGCUGCUCUCAGACCCUAAAUGCGCCGAGAAGCUCCACAGGCUCUACCCCUGCCGUGGGCAUUUGGCUGCCUGCGCUCAUGGCCAGUCCUGGCACGGCACGGCUGUCAGCACCAACCUUGGUGCUGGGAAAGGAGCUGCGGGAAACCUUAUCGAAGAUCUCUGUCCCUUGGCGCAGGAACCAGAUUUAAGCUCAGGCCCUUGCCUGAACUAUGCUGUAGGCAUGCCUGUGCCUGGCCAUGUACCUCACUGAUCCUGGGCUUCCCUGGCUAAUGUAACUUCCUGGCUUGACCUCAGACCUGUCUUGUCUCUAUGGUCAGGCUUGGUGGUCCUUGGACUGUGGCUGACCCCUGUUGCUGUCACCAGCUGGCCUGGAUCUCCUUGUUCGGGUGCCAUGAGGCUGUCAGUGAGGUCCCUGCCUGCCUCACCACCACCCUUAUCCCCAGCUUGCCUGCCCUGGUGGAGCAGCCAUGCUUCUCCUUGCUGACAAGGACUGCACACAGUCCUCGGGGUGUUGAUGAAAAGCAGCUUCCUUCUUCCAGGGAAAUGCGCUUUUUGGCACUCUUUCCAGGUAUUGCCGUUGCAUAAAUAAUAAUAGUGUUAACAUUGAAACAUGACUAAGAAAGCUAUUAAGCGUUCUGAGUAGAAACAAGAAACAGAAAGGUGAAACCGUAUUAUUUUUGGCACUGUUCAAAUGAUGCGCAAUGCCUAAUUCACAAACUCAUCCUCUAUAUUUUUAUGGGUGAUGUGACUUCCCUUGUGUGCUUAGACUUUAGGAUAUGAUAGUCUCGUUUCCUCUUGUUACCUUACUCAACAAGUUUCUGUCUCAUUUGGGACCCAUGACUGACUUACACAGAGACAGAAGGCAUUCUGAAACAGGACGGUUGUUGAAACUUGAGCAGAUUCACAGGAGCACCCAGAUCAAACUGCUCACUCUAAACCAGUUCUCUUUCAUAGGAAAGACAGGAGUCAGCUGCACAUCUGUUGCCACAGGACUCCUCUCAAUUCAGAUGACAUGGCUUGCUUCUGUCCCAGUAAAGAUGGAAAAUAAACUCCUGUAUCUAAACACUGUAUACUUUCUGGGACAGUCAGAUCAAAAGCAUGCCUAGAGGAUUAGCUGUAGUCAUUAAAACAAAAGUCAGGUUUCUGUACUUAGUGAUCCCAGGUGUGGUGGGUUAAUCUUGGCUGGCCACCAGGUACCUACCAAGUUGCUCUAUCACUUCCCCUCCCCAGUGAGCAGUGCCAGCACUGCUCAGCAGUAGCCAAAACACUGGUGUGUUUUCAACACUGCACUAGCUACAAAUACAAAGCACAGCACCAUGAGGGCUACUAUGGGGAAAGUUAACUACAUCCCAGCCAGACCCAAUAUACCAUGUUUUCUGAAAAUUAAAAAAAUGGUAGUUUUGUUUAUCCUGAAACUUUAAAUGGCUUCUGAGUAUUCAGGCAGUUUAUCUGGGAACAGAAAAAAGGUUUUUCCUGAGCUUUUUGUGCCCCUAGUGAAGAAUCUGUCCUCUUAAAUGCAGGAAAAAGUGAGUUAGAAGAGAAUGUUCCUAGCCCUCCACAUUGUGCCUUUGGCAUUCUCCAUUUACAGCAUUUUAGCUGUGCAAAUUGAAUUUGUCCUUGAACUUGAACCAUUGUGAAGUAUUGUAAGUUAGAAGUUGUGAUACUUCAAAACAUUAGGAUGUCAGACAUGGUAACUUUGUAUUAGAAAUACGUAGCUGAAAAAUCUGAUAUCUAGAAUGGCUGUGCAGUAGCACAGCUGAUUUUGUUUCAGUGACGCGACUUCAGUUUUGCAAAGAUAAUAUCCCAGAUCAGAAUUCAGUCAUCUGUCUGCUGAGAGGAACCACAAGCAUAUUUCUAUCUUAAUGAUUAAAGAAUAUUCCUAAUGACCUUUGAAGAGCUGUUGUAAUGUGACAGCAGGAAAUUAUUCUGGCUUUUGAGUAUGUGGCAAAUAUUUUAAAGCAGGCUUUUAAGUGGUUUCUGUAGCAACCACUCUUCAUUAGAGAUCAACCCAUGCUAUUAAGUAUCACGCUGUGUUCAGAUCAGCUUUGCAAUAUUAAAGACACUUGUUUAAUACACUGCCAGGUCAUGCACAGUUCCUUGCCGUCCAACAGCCAGGGGAGCAUAGAGGGAAGCUUGCUGCCUGCCAGACUUUUUUCCAGACAUGCAAGGACACACCUCUUGGUGGUGAGCUAGCGUAGGUGCCCCGAUGGGUGGAGGAGCUGGCCCUGCUCACUAUUGGCUGCUCUUUCAUCCAGCAACUGUGAGGAGUGGGGGUUUUUAUUUCUCAUUCAUCUACCCCUCCGCCCCCUGCCCCAAGAAAAUACUAGUGACUUGUGAUUCCCUUUUAAAGAGGUAUCAAGCACAGCUCUUAACUGAGCACAGCUCAUAUUCUUUUUUUUUGGUCUUUUAUCUCAAGUGUCUGGGGCAUCAGAUAAUUUAUCCUUUGAUCCCAUAUUCAGUGUUUAUGAUCAACAGGAAUGUAAAGCCAUUAGCCGGGUUAAUGGUGGAGGACUGGGGAGGUGUCAUUAAUAUAAAGAAGCACCUCUUCUGCUCUCCUCCAAAGCUUUACAGUUAUUUAUUUAUUCUGAUUUGGGUUGCCUUCCCUACUUGCUAUGGACAUCUGGGCUUUAAGGCAGCUUUAGCAGAACUGGCCUGAGAAUCUUAAAGUACUGCUCAGGGGAAAUGUGUUUAACAGUGAUCCUAAUGGAGGGCAUUCACCUGGCAUUUGUCAUCAGCCCUGUGAGAGCCUGAUCAGAUGCCCCAGCACUGCUGGGGUCUCUGGGGGCAGACUUCUCUCUGUUUCUGGCUGGAAGGUCAGAGCUUGUUCCUGCAGCCAUAGAAUAAGAAGGAGUAAGGGUCAUUUUCUCCUGAUGCCUUCUCACUUUAUGCCUUUGUUAUCUUGGGAUUUGGUUAGUGCAAAGCCUCUAUGUGAGGCUUCUCUCUAAAACGGUUCAGAGGCACAGAGGCAGACCUAGCGUAGCACUUGAAAACUGCCUGCUGUGCCCUCAGUGCGUACAGUGCUGAAUAUGGCGAGUUCUUUCACUCUAUCCUGGCACCCAGGAGGUCUGGGUUUCUGUGUGUGGUGGGAAGUGCCAAGUCCUACCAAUAGACUCCUAAAUGAACUAAGCAGGGUGUUGCCUUGAGAGACAGGCAGCUUCUCUGGCUUCUGUGCCUGAGCUAAAAUUGGAGCAAGUAUUCAAGAGGGAAAAAGAGGGACUGCCAGUGCCCAUGUCUCUGACAGUCACGGCACUGUUGGUCUGAAAUAGCCUGUUGACCUUCAGUGCUGGGCUGUGGUGGCCUUUUUUGGGUGACCUGGAAAAUAGGCCGGUAAAGUGAGGUAAUCCCUGGCAAGCAUCCUUUAAGAGUAUUCUGAUACUUGUGUUUCUUUAGGUAAGUCUGCUCUGUAGGAAUAUCAUCUUGCUUGGCCAUGCUUUCUGUAACUCUCAGGAGAAAGGCUUUUAUAGAACUUACACAGAAAAAGAGAGUGCUUUUUGACAGUGGUUGCUACUUUGUAUUUGUGGUUUUGAAGGCAGAAAUCAGCAGAAAUUUCUGAAGGUAGAAAUCAUGCAGAAGUCAGCUCAUGUGUUACCCAGUCUAUGGCAUUAUUGUACUUAAUAGCAGUUUUUAUUUCCUGUUGAUGGUGUACUCCUCUUUGCUUAGUUGUUGUUAAUACAACCACUGCCUGCUAUUAUGGAAAGGGUUACUACUUCUUUCUAAGAGCAAAUAGGAAGAAUAGGAUAAUAGGCAUUCAGUGUUAUAAAUCCAUGCCUCUUCUGUAAGACAAAAACUGAGGCAAUACUCAAGUUAAAAUGUGUGUUUGUAAAAAACCAAAAAGCACAGGGCCCACAUGCAAAAUGAAAUCCUGUAGCAUCAUUUUGUAAUAUAGAUGAUUCCAUGAAAUCUUGUGUUUACAAGUGAACCUGUCAGCUUAUAGGGUCUGACCCAAAGCAUACGGAAACUUCUGAGAAUCCUCAUGCUGACUUAGCACGGACUGCAUUGGGUCCACAGGAAGAUGGAUGUGUUCAAAAUCACGUCCAGCACUGGAAUGAAAGCUUCAGCAGUGUGUAAUCUUUUGUUUGUUUUUGGCAUGAGAGCAUCAUGUAGAAGUACCGUGUGUAAGCAACAUACUGCUGCAUUCAAUGUGUGAUCUUUGCCUACGUUGCCAUCUACCUUCUGUAUGGGCCUGUUACAGUUAGUGGGAAUCUGGGGUGCAGCGUAGUUGCUGGGAUUCUGCACUUGCAGACUCUCUGCUGCUGACAUCGUCUGCCAUUUUCUGUUAUUUUAAAACUCAGAUCAGUUUAGUGCAUGAAUCAGAUUAUUAUCCCUGGGGGACAAGGUGGAUGGUAGGGACAAACAGCUAGAUGCACAUGGAGUAAGGAUGCUGAGAACAACCACAACUGAGUCUACUGCUGAGAGACUAUGGGGAAUUGCACUUUUUACUGGUUGAGGUAAGAUGCAGAAACUGGUUAUUUUGUCAGUUCAGUUGCAAUAACAAGCUCUUUCUCUAGGAUAUCAGAGGUGUGAAGCAUCAACUUAAAGCUUUUUCAGCGAGAUGACCCAAGCCUGUGGCUGAGUCCUUGCUUUACUUCAUAGUCAUGACUUUAUCAUCACUUCUCAUCUGCAAAGCGGGGGCAAGAAGGCGUCUCAGUGUCAGUGGGAGCAUUGUAAGGGUGAUCACAGGAGCAGUUGUGAUGAGUUCAGCAAAGGCUGGACUAGCUCCUGGGCUAGCUGUCAAGGAGGGUACAGGACCACGAGCAGUGUAAGGCUGAGCAGCCAGCUCAUUACUGCAUCGCACGUAACUCCCUAUAUUGUCAGUGUUGUGCAUAGCUAAUGUGAAGCUUUGUGGAAAUGUGAGGGCACCUUUCUUGCCACUGUUGGUUUCCUUCAAGAAUGAGGAGGAUUACAGGAGUGCCCUGCCUAAUGUGUAUGGCUGUAUUGGGUUUGCAUGGCAAGGUUUUGGUAGUGGGGGGGGCACAGGGCUGGCUUCUGUGAGAAGCUGCUAGAAGCUUCCCCUGUGU